AUGAUUAAAAAUGCUGCUUAAUGACUGGUGUCAAGUCUGAUGCCAAAGAAUUUAAACAAUAUGUUCAACCAUGAAAUACGUCCUGAGCAGCCUGUUUAUUCUGACAUAAUGCCAACAUAGUCAACAGUGACUUGGCUCGGAGGGAUGAAUGAACUUUGUGCACUCGGUUUACAUCCCAGAAUGAGAAGUGCAGCUUCACAAACAGCCAGCAGAGGUCGCUACUGCUUUACUUUAAUGUGUAAAUCCAACACAUGAGCUUUAGGAGGAAAGUGGGCAAAGUUGAGGAGAGUUCUGGCUGCAGAUUUCAGCUUAUAUUGUGCAUUUUAUUCACAUUUUUUAGCAGAAAGAAGUGUGAUUAUAGUUCUUGCAGGAGUUUUUCAGUAAUAUUUUUGUGCAAACAGCAUGUGGAGGGAAAAUGUGGUCAAAAGAAGCUGAUUUUUAGAACUUUGAGGACAUAAAAUGAGUUUAAAUGCAGCAGGAUUGUGAUUCUAGUUGUGAUGUUAGAGUGAAAUUUGAAAGUUCUGGUUCACUUGUCCUAUUUUAUGACCCUACGUCAGUGUGGAAACACCCCUAACGUCUCCGUCUGGCUCUCCUCCCUCUAUCCUUCACCAUUCUGAGCUCCAGAUCUCCUCAGGGAACAUCAGGACACUGCAGGCCUUAAACCUGCAGAAACGACCCUCAGAUCUCCAUCCUGGUGAGAUCCUGGAGGAUGGGGGUGAACCGAGCACUGCAGCUGCUCGCUCUGCUGGUGGGGUUCCUCCGGGCGUCUCAGGGGGCUGGUGAGGUCCCGGCGUCCCAGCUGAGGAUGCUCUCGCUGGGACUGGCUCACCUGCUGCAGGGGGUGCAGGAGAACGUGGAUCGGAUGGAGCAGCAGGGAGGGAUGGUGGCGGCCGAGCUGGACAGAGCCACAAACAGCCUGGAAAAUAUUCAAAAGUAGAACUUCCAGACUAGACGGACUCACAAACAGGUGAGGAAGGAGCAGCAGAUCCUCAGCGCCAGGAAGGAUCAGACUUGGAGUUCGGUCAGAGAUCUGCAGGAUCUGGAAGCAGAACAGGAAACUAUGAAGCACCGGAUCAACCGGAUCCUCCACAGCGUGAAGAGUCUGACCGAGCCGAGGACGAGGGCUCGGAGUCAGCUGGACGUCAGAUCCAUGAAGGUUCUUAUAGACAAACGGACUCGACUCCUCUCCACUCUGAUCUCGGAGGUUUCAGCCCGAGAGAAGAUGAUCGACAGACGCCUGCAGCACAUCGAACAUCUGGAGAAACAGCUGUCUUCAGGUGGCUGAGAGCCUCCAGCAGCUCUGAGGGCAGAUUCUCUCCACAAUAUUUCACAGCUGCAUCAACACACUGACUCACAAAUACACUCGCAAGAUGAGAACGAUCUGACAAAAUCAUUUAGAGCUAAGAAAUGGUGGAAAAUUACUCAGAUCCUGAGUAAAAGUAUCAAUACUGCAAUGAAAAAAUGGUAAAAGUUGAAAAAAUGGUAAAAGUUCUACAUGAAAAAUCAUAUUUAAGUUGAAAAAUGUAAAUGGAAAAAAGCUGUGAACAACUCAUCGAGCUCUAAAACGUGAGAUUACACAAGUCUGAAACUGAUCUUUUUUAAUCUUUACCGUAUGUUUUCUGUUUUAAACACUUGGUUUAUUAUCAACUGAUAAUUUAAAAAUAAAUCUUUAAAGUGAGUCUCAAACAAAGUGUAGUAGAAAGCGCAAAAUUUCCCUCUGAAAUGCUGGAAAUCUGAAGUAAAAAGCAGCAUAAAAUGGAAAACAUUCAAAUGAAGUACAAGGAUCCAGAAAUAAAGUGAAGUACAGUCCUUAAAAAAAGUACUUAUAUUGGCCAUAUUCCAUGCAGUACCACUUUAUAUUUCUAAUCUGCAGCAUUUAUUUGACAAAACUUUGGAUUUAAACAAAUAACACAUCAUCCCUAACAGCUGGAAUAUUUGUUGUCAGUUGCAGUACUUGAUUGUACCAGUAGCUCCAAAGUACUGCAGAAAAGAAAGUUAAUAUAAGCAGUAUUAACAAUAAUGAAGGUGAAAGUGAGCGAAAUAAUAAUAAUAUUAGUAAUAAAAUAAAACAAAAAACAGCUGUACUGUCUUUUAAGAUUAUGUUUUACAUUAAAACCAUAACUUUAGCAGUAAUUAUAAUAUUUAAUAAUUUGCCAAAAAUUAAGUUUGAGCUCCUUUAAUAGAAAAUAUUUGCUGCAUCACUAUUUACAUUAAAAAAAAAAGUCAUAUUGCAUCUAAUAUUUCCCCCAUUUUUCUGUGCAACAAGUACUUUUACUGCGAUGGAGUAUUUUUACAUGGUGUUUCCUUAUUAAAACUUCAGAAUAGUUGUUUCACUUCUGCAAACUGGCCACAAAAGCACACCAGAGGUUUGUGUUAACAGCUGCAGAGAACGUUUCCUCAGUGAGUUGUGUUUAUAAAGGUUAAAAAUACAACGUCCCUCCUCCUAAGUCACCGUGUUGUGGCUCUGACUUCCACAUUGUUGCUGUCCAGGACGGUGGCGAAACGCCUUGUGAAGAUAAGCCGCACCCAAAUAAACACAAAAGUGAAGUCAGAUACUAAUAACACUCGCAGCUUUCAUAACCUAAAAAUAUCACAUAAUGAUGAAUUCACAUUAUUUUUAGCCUGAAUACAAAAUAAUCUGAAGACUGGAGGGUAAAAUCUAGAAAAUUUAAGCUCGGUCAUGUUUAUGUGCCAUAAAAGAACACAAAAUCUAAAUCCACUCCUAGAGCUACAGCUGUUUCGUCUGAAUCCCUUGAGUUCUCUUCACAUUGUGUGUGUGGAAAUGUUCUUACUUUCACUACUAAACAUAGCCGUGAAUUCACUUGUUGAUUUCCUACGAUCAUCUAAGAGUUUGUUCUGACCACAUCUGUUCCUCAGAGAUGAUGGUUCUCCACUAUCCUUCAGGUUUUAGUGAUGUGUUGGACGGUUCUUAGCCUCAUUUUAGUAGUUUCAUCUCCUUAGUUGUUUUCUUUGCUUGAUGCAGACCAAUAAUUUUAUCCUUGUGAGACAGAUGAACAUCUUGUCCAUGACCACAGGAUUUGUCUUCCAACAUGGUUGUUUAAGAAAUGAGAAGCUCCUCACUGCAUUAGUUAAAGCCAAGUGGCACUUUUUUUUUGGACAGACAGUGUAUAAUGAGGUGAUGCUGUUUUAUAUAUUAUUAUUUAACUGUGAUGUGACGCAACAUGGCACAACUCUUAUAUAACCUCAACAUUUGUAGACGACUUUAUUUAAAGAUUCUUAUGGGUCAGUGAUCUCAGCCUCCAGAUUCUCUUAUUAGAUAAACUGCAAGAAAAGGACAUUUUUGCAAUUCCUUCUUACAUUAACCUUUGAAAUAAUGUUUUAUUUUAGAAAUAUAGUAGGAAAAGAAACUGCCUAUAGAGAUAAAAUUACUCCUCUUCUCUCAGGUUCACUGAUAAAAACAUGUGAUAUUGUUUUUCUUUGUAUUUCAUUUAAAUGCCGUAUGAUACGAUAAAAAAUAUUACAGAAAUAAUGGAGUGAAACCAGUGGUGCAGAUUGUGCAGGAGUUUCACAACUCAAAUACUAUUUCACUGUCAGAGAAAGAAACAAAAGUGGAUUAUAUGUAAAAAGAUGGUGCCCAACACAUGAAAAUAAAAGGAAAAGCAGCUCAGAAUAUAAAAAAGUAUAAAUGAAUGAUUGGUAAACAAUGUCAAGAGACUCUAAAAAGAGAAAAUAUAUAGAUCUCUAAUAACUUUUAUGAUUUUCUGACUUUCUUGUCACACUGUCAUGAGUUUGCAUUUUUAAUUUGCCCAAAAUUUUGGUUUUAAGACAUAAUGCCUGUGAAACUAACAGGAUUCGACAACCUUAUAGUUGCUACUUAUGGUUAUAUUUUGAAGAAUUUUUUAUUGCAUUUUUUAUGGCCACACUAAAUGCUGUUUUACUAUCUGAGUGUUCAGACUGUGCCGCCUUCUUGAAUUUUACCGUGUUUCUGUAUUAUAUAACAAUCUGAACAAAAAACGGUGUAAAAAUUGCUCAUUGUAGUGAUGAAUCACUGUUCCUGUUAUGGCCUCAGGUGAUUGUGUGCCGUCUUGUGUCUGGGUGGGUUUCUCUUGGGCCUUUGUAUGGGAGCUGGCAUGUGUAGGUCCAGCUGUGGCUGGUCUGAGAGCAUCUCUGGACCUCCAGCUGCCAGACAUCUCAGCUAACGAGUCUGGAGAUGAAAACCCGAACUUCAGCCUAUGUUCUCCCCGCCUCCCAUCCUGUCUGACUGGGCCACCACCCACUUCCCUCCACUUUCAACCAAUCGGUCGCAGGCAUCGUCACACCUGCAGAGGAUUAAUCCUAUAACCAAAGUCUCAGUCAGGGUGGCUGGGAUUUAAUGUGACCAGUUUACACUGGUGCUGCUUGUGUGUGUGUGUGUGUGUGUGUGUGUUGUAGGUUCCAUAGCUAAGCAGAAAUUAGAGCUUCAGUUAGCAGCUGCUAUUUCAGUGAGGAGCUAACAGUCUUGAUGAAGACUCCUGUUAGCAGGUUGCUAAUUUGCUGAGAAGCUACUUAUGACUUGAGUCUUUGCAUGUUGUGUCUUGUUAAGUGCUUAAGUUUGGAUAAGGAGUUUAGUCAUAUUGCUUUUGUUUAGCUAGUUUAAAAACUCUGUUAGCCUUUGUUUGGUUUUAUUUGGUUCUUUGAUUUAGCAGCAUCCACCAGUCUUGUUUUUCUUUGUUUGAUCACUGUUAUGUUAAGUUUGACACUGAGCUAUAAAUUGCUUUACCUAAAGCAACAACAACUGGUUGUUUUUGUUGCACCCAGCUGACUAUAGCGGUUGGGUCGUAACGGUUCCUAAAGUAAUGCAUCACUUUAGAAACAGUAAUGCAUCACUAGGUGCAGGUUUCAGUUACUGCUUUUAUUCUGAUAAGACGUCACUAUGAUUCAGUUAACAUGCAGUUAAGUCCUGUCAACAAUUUUGUGGUUUUGGGUAGAUUUUUAUCAACUUUGAUGUUGGUUUUGUGGUAUUUUUUCCUGAAAGAGCAUAAAAGACCAAUCCUGUGUAUGUCCUCCUACUUAUGUUCUGAUAUGUGGGGAAAAAAGUAAGAUUUAAUGUUAUAUUAACUGACAAUGCAUCUGCAAAAAUAAUGUGAUGAAUUGCUUUCUUUGGAAGUAAAGUACAUGAAUUAAUGCAUUUGUUUUUUGAGUAGGAGAUUCAUUA